AUAUGACGGUACCGUAAGAAUAAGCACCGGCUAACUACGUGCCAGCAGCCGCGGUAAUACGUAGGGUGCAAGCGUUAAUCGGAAUUACUGGGCGUAAAGCGUGCGCAGGCGGUUAUAUAAGUCAGAUGUGAAAUCCCCGGGCUCAACCUGGGAACUGCAUUUGAGACUGUAUAGCUGGAGUACGGCAGAGGGGGAUGGAAUUCCGCGUGUAGCAGUGAAAUGCGUAGAUAUGCGGAGGAACACCGAUGGCGAAGGCAAUCCCCUGGGCCUGUACUGACGCUCAUGCACGAAAGCGUGGGGAGCAAACAGGAUUAGAUACCCUGGUAGUCCACGCCCU
rnacentral:rRNA from 1 species